rnacentral:misc_RNA from 1 species
UUUUAAACCAAAAAAUAAAAAGCUGGUCGUUGAGAUUUCCGUUGCUAGGUCAAAUUGUAUCUCAAUUAAUUACAAUCAUUUGAGCCAACAGCCAAAUACCACUUCCAUUGACACUCGCCUUUCACAAUCUAAGUGAAGACUCGAUAAAACCACUGACCAAAUGGUAUGUGCAACCACUCAACCACCAACACCAUCAGAAGACGAAGAUGCCACGGAGAAAAGUCCUACAAACUUUUAAAUAAGUUUUCCUUUUCUCGAUUCCGAUGAAAAACUUACAAUCACAUACAAAGAAUAUCGUGCUAGGAAAAUUUCAAAAACAAAAAGUAAAGGGAAAAAAAAUCUUUGUUUCUUUGUCAAAGGCUGACGGGCAUCUUUUUUUUGAUGCUUGCUUCGCGCUGAUAGUAGCAAAUGAAGCAACAACAUGCUUGCAAACGAACAGGCACCCAUAUGAAGCAGGCCACAACUGUUAAAUAGGAAAAGAAAGAGAGUUUGGUACAUCUUUUGAAUGACAGGUGAAAUUUUAUCUAUCACCAGAAUAUUAUAAGCAGAAUACAAGUUCAGCGUGCCAUUUGCAGGAAUUGCGUAUUUCUAUUUGUUUCUACUUGUUCUCUCAAAAGGUUAAAAAUUAUUUAUCCAUAAAAUGUGUACUCAUUAACUUUUAGCAGAGUGAUCUUCCUUUGUACAUGGUUGAAUCAUUUGAUCGCCAAGGUUUUCAAAAAUAAAUUCAUUGUGCACGAAAUCAAACCUGUCUUGAGCUCUUAGCAUCAAAAUUGCAAUGUACUCAUUUGACAGGGAGAAUGACAUCAAGGUUCUUCUGAAACAGCCAACCUCGGGGAUACGCAAGACCACUAGCAUCCAAAUGAAGAUGCCAACUCAAUAUCCUUGAACAGCCCAGAGGAACACCAUCCAUUUGACUUUCAUCUUCUACCAUUUGCUCUAUGAAUGUGGUCUCCUGUGAAAAAGCACAAGGUUAGCAUACAUGACAGACAAUUGAAUUAAUGGUAAGUUCUAGGGAAAGAACAUCCAGAAAAUACAAUUGUAUGAUGUAUACUUGGAAACCCUCCUUCACUGUGUCUAACUGUCGAAUUGGUUUCAAAGAGCGGCGCUUCCAUCUCUUUGGGUCCCACAAGAUAGUGCUGUUGAAGGCAAAUCCUGACAUAUCAACAUGAAACCUUCGAAGUCUUUUGCUUUUUUCAUUGGUGUGCCAUCCAAUUACCUGAGUUCGAUUACAUACUGGACCUUCCAAAAUUGCUUUGUUUUUACUUUGUGCAAGCAUUGCAACAGGCCAAGUGCCAAAUCGGCUGAUUUCUCUCAGGCUUUCGAACAACUCAAGCGAAUGCACAUUAUCAUCAUCAGCGAAAUACACAAUCCCAUCCAGCCUAUGUCUCUCUAUGUGAUCCAAAGCCGCAUUCCUCUGGUGUACACCUCUGUCUUUCUCAGUCGUCGAAUUUCUCUCGCACACCACAUGCCUAUACAUUACCCCCGUUUUCCUCAGAAUGUCUGCUGUCUCCAUCGACGCCGCCUUCAUUUCCACCACAAUCCACAACAGCGGAGGCUGCACUAGCCUGAGCACCUGCCCUAAUCUAUUCAAAAAAUAGGCCUGUAAAGCACGAUUAUACGUCGGCGUAAUCACGAUUAAUUGCUUCCUCGGGACAAAAUCAAAUCUGGAAACGUAGUUCAGUUGCGCAUCAACCCCCAAACUCACAGAAUUUAGAGCAAAAACACCGUGCUUAAUACUGCGAUUAUCGCCGUCGUCUAAUUGAACAUUGACAUGUGGCGGCUUGAUCUCAAAAGAGAAAUCAUGAUUCCGGACAUCAUUAUCCACAUGACCAAACAAGAACAUACCCAAAAAGAAGCCUACAACGAAGAAUAUCAAGCAUCUGUAGAAAGAUCUGCGAAAUCCUUUCCGUUUUUUAAGGAAAGCGGCGGCGAAGAACCGGCGGAGAGGGAUGGAGUUGAAACUGACAAAUGAAGCGGCUGAGGAGGCUAAUGGAGAGGAGUACUUAGCGGCGUUGCUGGUAAAAAACUUGUGAGAGGGCGAAUCGACUGACAGUGGAGAGUUGGUGGAAGCGAUGCCGUUUUGAUAUGUGCGGUCGUGAUAUGCCGCCGGUGAUAGCGUUCGACGAAUAGAGGCCAUUCGAUGGAUUGACUAAUUUACAUGAUCAAAUUGGCGGACGGCAAAAGAUUCAUCGAAUUCAGGAACCCUAAAUAGGAACGAAUCUACGGAGAGAGAUUAGGUUGCAAAUACAGUAAAGCGAAAAUGGAUUUGAUACCAAAAAUAGAGAAAAAAAAUAAUGAUUUGACAAUUGGUUUUUCUGGCAAAAUUUGGAUGAUAAUGUUUAAGAAAUUUAGGGUUCGUAGUGUAAAUCAGAUUCUUUU